UACGAAGGGGGCUAGCGUUGUUCGGAUUUACUGGGCGUAAAGCGCGCGCAGGCGGCAGUCUAAGUCCUCUGUGAAAUCACCCGGCUCAACUGGGUGGCUGCGGAGGAGACUGGGCAGCUUGAGGGGCCUAGAGGCCGGUGGAACUCCCGGUGUAGUGGUGAAAUGCGUAGAGAUCGGGAAGAACACCAGUGGCGAAGGCGGCCGGCUGGGGGCGCCCUGACGCUGAGGCGCGAGAGCGUGGGGAGCAAACCGG
rnacentral:rRNA from 1 species